GCAGAAGAUCAUCAAAAACCCUAAAAAUCUGCAUUUCUCUAGUAAACCCCAUCAAAAUGGCUGACUCUGUAUUGCACAAAGAAGAAGGAUCAAUGCCAGAAACUGAAAAUAAAGACGAAUCCACAUUGCCUUCCAAGCGUAAACUCGAUUCACUUCCAGUUUCAGAUGGCAAAGAAGCAGUGUCAGAAGAUCAACCUAACAAAACUCAAAAGCUCCAAUCUCUCACCCACAACGGCAAUUCACUGGUCAUCGAGGAGAAAAUCACCGGAAACCAACCUCUACUACCUUCUAAUGACAAUUCCUGCGCCAAUUCUUCCAUUCCCCAAGAGAAAAGCAGCAGUAAAGCUGUGGCAGAAGAUAACGACACCAGAGAAGGAGAAGAAGAAGAAGAA
rnacentral:misc_RNA from 1 species